UCACACCAGUACUAGUCACCAGACCUGGACUGAAACAAGCCCCAAAGGCCGAGGAGAGUGUGCUGUCAGCAUGAUCCCAGCUCCUGAUGGACAGACCUAUGGCUGUUAGAGAAGAUGUCUGUAGGAUGCCAGAGACUGCAAAACAAAUAAACAAACAGAUAAAUUGGUGGGCGCUAUAUCUAGACCACUUGAGUCUGAAGCCAGGCCAUGCUACCUACUACGGUGGGACCCUAGCCAGUACCCUACCUGCUCCACCGCCAUGCCAAUGUACCCCCACUGGGACUCCUUCAACCCUCACAAGCCCAGGUGGAGAGUGGAUGGAAUGACUUGCACGUUGGAGCCCAUGUCUCCAAGCAGUGCAAAGCUGGAGCAGCAGCCUAUGUCCUGCAGGGCAAUGAGGACUUGGAGGUUCACUUUCCCUGGGAAGUUCCAGAACAGCCCCCGGCUAUGCCUUGACCACCACACAGAAAAGCGGAGUGGAGCGAGCCAGCCAUCGCCAGGGUGCUCAUCUGUGCAAGCAAGAGAGGAGCUAACAAGAUUUGUGACACUCUUCUUAUUUCGAAGUGUCAUCCUUGUGACAAGUAUUUAUAGAGCACAGGGUUGUACCUACUGUGUCCAGGAUCCUGGAGAGUAAGUAUGGAGAUGAGUCAUACUGUCUCUCCAAACUUAAGGACCUUUCAGGGAAGUGGCAGAAUUAAGAGAAGUCCCAAAUUAAAAAAAAAUGUAGUUGGGCAGAGGUCAGGGCUAUGAGAAGUGAGGGGAAGUGGUGGGAGAGUUCAGGGAGAGGGAUCCAGAGGUUCAGCCAGGGACAUAAGGACUGGGACAGGGAGGGGUUGGGCCUUAAAAGAGAGAAGGAUUUGCUACCCUGAAUUACAUCUUGGUUGCAAGAGAACCUGUGAAUUAACUAGUUCUGGUUGUACAUCUGUUAUACCUAAAUGAUUGUUAUCGGUGAUGAAAAGACAAUAUUCCCUGCCCUGGAGAUCUAUCUCCUUAAUCUUGAAAGGUAAAUUAGAAAUAGAAAUGGAUUGGCCAAAUAUCCAGAAUGGGUUAGAGAUAUAUAAUGUAAUCCGAACAGUCAGAUUAAAAAAAAAACCCCAAAACAAAACAAAACCAAAAAACCAUGUGUAUGUUUUGAGGG